rnacentral:rRNA from 1 species
GAGGAAAAGAAACCAACUGGGAUUACCUUAGUAACGGCGAGUGAAGCGGUAAAAGCUCAAAUUUGAAAUCUGGUACUUUCAGUGCCCGAGUUGUAAUUUGUAGAAUUUGUCUUUGAUUAGGUCCUUGUCUAUGUUCCUUGGAACAGGACGUCAUAGAGGGUGAGAAUCCCGUUUGGCGAGGAUACCUUUUCUCUGUAAGACUUUUUCGAAGAGUCGAGUUGUUUGGGAAUGCAGCUCAAAGUGGGUGGUAAAUUCCAUCUAAAGCUAAAUAUUGGCGAGAGACCGAUAGCGAACAAGUACAGUGAUGGAAAGAUGAAAAGAACUUUGAAAAGAGAGUGAAAAAGUACGUGAAAUUGUUGAAAGGGAAGGGCAUUUGAUCAGACAUGGUGUUUUUUGCAUGCACUCGCCUCUCGUGGGCUUGGGCCUCUCAAAAAUUUCACUGGGCCAACAUCAAUUCUGGCAGUAGGAUAAAUCAUUAAGAAUGUAGCUACCUCGGUAGUGUUAUAGCUUAUUGGAAUACUGCUAGCUGGGAUUGAGGACUGCGCUUCGGCAAGGAUGUUGGCAUA